AUACGAAGGGGGCUAGCGUUGUUCGGAAUCACUGGGCGUAAAGCGCGCGUAGGUGGAUCAAUUAGUUGAGGGUGAAAUCCCGGGGCUCAACCUCGGAACUGCCUUCAAUACUGUUGAUCUUGAGACCGAGAGAGGUGAGUGGAAUUCCUAGUGUAGAGGUGAAAUUCGUAGAUAUUAGGAAGAACACCAGUGGCGAAGGCGGCUCACUGGCUCAGUACUGACGCUGAGGUGCGAAAGCGUGGGGAGCAAACAGGAUUAGAAACCCCAGUAGUCC
rnacentral:rRNA from 1 species